rnacentral:misc_RNA from 1 species
AACUAACAGCUGGUGCCUUAUCUAUCCUUUUGGUCUUUCUCUUUCUUCCAUGUACCGAAUCAGUAUAUCAUACUCGCAAACAACCAAGAAGUAAUUACUCCAAAGAACAAACUAAGCAACAAUUCCAAAGUAGCAAGCAAUAGAAAGAAGCUAAAGCAAUUACUCAAGCAUAAAUUCAACAAAAGUUCCAAAAACAAAGGCAACUGAAAGAAGUUACAUCAUUUACUCAAAAGCACAAAGCAAUAGAAAGAAGCUAAAGCGGCUAGACAAAAAGCACAAAUUUUCAGCAAGAAUUCUUACUGGCUUGAG